CGCUACAAACGAUGGCCUACAAACAGGUACUAUCAUCGCCAUCGUCGUCAUGUCUAUCGCUGUUCUCCUGGGUGCCAUCAGUGUGUACGUGUGCUGCUGCUGCCGCCGCCCGGUGACGGGAGUCCCGGCUGUCCGAUCCUCAGCCAACCAGUCACGUCCGGCCGGAAACACUAGCGGAAAUAGCCGACCAAAUAACUACAAACACGUAAAAAACAAUUUGGGGGAGCAGAACGUCAACGCGACCUCUAAGUCGCCUAGUAGCAACAAAAAACAAUCCACUGGAAAGCAGCCGAAACUGGCAACCACAAUAGACUCGCCUUCUGGUAGCGUUAAGGUCAUCAUUGAUCAAGGUCAAGUGUACUACCCGCCCGAGUCUUGAUAGAAUGACGAUGGGCCACGGCAUCAGAUUGUACAAUGCUAGAGUUGGCAGGCGAGCGGCGAUGUCCUCACUAAUCGUCGUCAUGUCUUCCUAUCUGCGACAAGUCGUUAGCAGCUGCUGACGUGUUCAGUCUAUGGUUUGCUGUUCUAGCCUGACAGCGCCAUCUGUUGUUAAAGAACAAUUAAAGGGCGAAACUUGAGCGCGGAUAUUCGUAUUACUCUAAACGUGUUACGUUUACUACCAUAAUGUGUAAUUACAUUAAGAUAUAUAAUUAUAUGUAUUUUAAUUAAAUAUAUUAAUUAUAUUAGAUUAGAAAUAUCUAAUUUAAUAUAAUUAAGUAUAUUUGAUACUGCUAUUGUGCUCAUGAGGUUGCGAUUUGAUAAUUGAAUGCACGUUUUGCCCAAUGAACUCGCGAAAUAUUUGAGUGCAGCAAAAAACAUUUUCUAAGUGAUUGUAGCGGUCGUGAAGUGUGCGCGAAGCCUGAGAGAACGCUGUGCCUCUUAAGUUAUUUUAGCUUCAUCAUCUAAUGGUAAUUUAGAGUUCAUAUUGCAAUUUUCUGAUACCCCGAUGGUGAAAUGGGGAGCCCCCUCCACACUGAGCUACGAACAUUCGACAUAUGAAUAUAGGGACUGACGAACGAUGCUCCGUUCUUUUUUGCGGACACGGCAUAUCGGAUGCACGAACCAAACCCACGCUUCUCAAACCAAGUGAGUUUGCAAUUUAGAAUAUGUGACGCAUUGGACGCACAUACUUAGGGUCAUGUUGGGGACUCGUAGACCUCCUGCGACUAAUGACGCCCCCACAAAAAAUUUUACCGGUUAGAGGGCGCGCAUGAAUGUUGGAAAUCUAAUUCUAAUAACAAUAAAAAAUGGUAAAACUACAUUUUUUGAGCACGUUGUGUAUGAAAUAAUAGUAUUGCGCGUAUCGUACGCGAAAAAAUAUUUACGGGGGUAUAAAUCGGUGAACUGAGCGUGUUUUACUUUUAACGAUUUUAUCAUUCAUCGCUUAUAACUGUAUAUAUAUAACUAUUUAUUUAUAGAUAUAUAUUGUCUGUGCAUGCAUGUGUGCGUGUUUAUAAUAAUAUAUUUAUCAUAAUCUAUUAUUAUGGAAACUGAUCAAAGGGCAUGAAAUGAUGUGACGUGUUGCAAGGCGAAACUUACGUGUAGUCUUGACAACGCGUGCAGCGUAUCCAACGUAUUAAAAUCACCCAUAUACUAGCAGAUCAGUUAUGUAAACACCCAAUGUUUGUUUUGUCCUUAACGCGACGCAACUUAUUCAAUUUUAAGGCGCUCGUGGUGGUAUCGUUAUGGUAGCAUCUGUGGAGGUUUAGAACAUUAGAAGCAUAUUGAAAUUAACCAGGUGUGAGGUUCAAAACCAAACAUUCCAAAUUUGAGUGACCAACUAUAGAUCGCUACGUUGUGAUUGUAUAAAACUAUAGUUUCUAUAAUUAUUUGCUAUAAAUAUUAAGUGUGUU
rnacentral:lncRNA from 1 species